GAAGUCACGGCAAUAAGGCAAUGAGAGAGCCCUCACUGUAGCUAGUGAAGAUUUAGGGCCCAGUUAGGGAUUUAGGGAAUUGUUUUAUAAGAACCAGAAAGUUCAUUAGUCAGGUCCCUUCUCUUAUCAGAGUAGGUUAGAGCCGCAGGUUCCAGUGCCAGUGUCAGCCACCCCUGCUUAGUUAGUGGCCCAGUUCUACCCAAGAGGAGAACCAGGACUAAAUACUGGACACUAUAAUCCCUGGGAACACUGGACAUCAACGGAUUACAAACGGAUUACAAAUCUAAUGUACUGGAUCAUAUGGAUUUCACACCUUGGAUUGCAGAUAAGUAUGAAUGACUGUCCUAGCGAACUACUCUCAGUCUGCUAUGGUUCUGGUUAAAAGUGAAAUCCACAUUUAUAAAAAUGUGGAAAAAUGCAAAAACAACAUUUUGGAAAGUGGGAACAUAGUUUUUAUGAGCUGAUCCUUAUGGCAUCUAU